GAUGAAGAACGUAGCGAAAUGCGAUAAGUAAUGUGAAUUGCAGAAUUCCGUGAAUCAUCGAAUCUUUGAACGCAUAUUGCGCCCUCUGGCAUUCCGGGGGGCAUGCCUGUCCGAGCGUCAUUGCUGCCCUCAAGCACGGCUUGUGUGUUGGGCCUCCGUCCUCCUCCCGGGGGACGGGCCCGAAAGGCAGCGGCGGCACCGCGUCCGGUCCUCGAGCGUAUGGGGCUUCGUCACCCGCUCUUGUAGGCCCGGCCGGCGCUUGCCGACACAUCAAUCUUUUUUCCAGGUUGACCUCGGAUCAGGUAGGGAUACCCGCCGAACUUAAGCAUAUCAAUAAGCGGAGGA
rnacentral:misc_RNA from 1 species